rnacentral:rRNA from 1 species
AACGAACGCUGGCGGCAGGCUUAACACAUGCAAGUCGAACGGUCUCUUCGGAGGCAGUGGCAGACGGGUGAGUAACGCGUGGGAACAUACCUUUCGGUACGGAACAACAGUUGGAAACGACUGCUAAUACCGUAUACGCCCUGAGGGGGAAAGAUUUAUCGCCGAGAGAUUGGCCCGCGUUGGAUUAGCUAGUUGGUGGGGUAAUGGCCUACCAAGGCGACGAUCCAUAGCUGGUCUGAGAGGAUGAUCAGCCACACUGGGACUGAGACACGGCCCAGACUCCUACGGGAGGCAGCAGUGGGGAAUAUUGGACAAUGGGCGCAAGCCUGAUCCAGCCAUGCCGCGUGAGUGAUGAAGGCCUUAGGGUUGUAAAGCUCUUUCGGACGGAAAGAAAUCGCCGCCUCUAACACAGGCGGUGGAUGACGGUACCGUAAGAAGAAGCACCGGCUAACUACGUG